CCAGGGCUGGGCUAGGAUGAAGCCAUGAACCAGGAUAUUCUUCUGGGUCUCCCACGUGGGUGGCGGUGGUUCAAGCACUUGAACCAUCUUCAGCUGCGUUUUCCAGGAGCAUUAGCAAUAAGAUCUAGAAAAAAUGAUGCUAAAAUUCAUAUAGAAACACAAGAGUGUCCAGAUAGCUAAAACAAUCUUGAACGACAAACAUCAAGCUGAGGGCAUCACAACACUGGACUUCAAGACAUACUACAGGACAGGUGGAAUCAAAACGGCCUGCUACUGGCAGAAAUCGGACAUGCAGAUCGAUGGAACAGAAUAGAGGUACCAGAAAUUAAACCACACAUCUAUAGCCAGCUAAUUUUUUGACAAGAAAACUGGAAUCAAUCUAGGGAGCCAGGACAGUUUCUUCAACAAAUGGCUCAGGGAAAAUUGAAUCUAUGUAUGCAGAAGUAUGAAACACGACACCUCCCUUAAACCCUAUAUGAAAACCAACUGGGAAUGUGUCAGAUCUGUAACCUGAUUUUGCAAGACAUGGGCAUAGGCAAAGACAUACUGGAAAAGAUCCCAGAAGUAUAGACAUUCAAAGAAAAUAUUAACAAUGGGAGCCACAUCAAGCCAAGAAGAUUCUGUACUGCAAAGGAAACAAGCAACAAAGCAAAGAAGCAAUCAACAAAAUGUGAGAAGCUGUUUGCAAAAUGUGCAACUGAUAGAGGAUUAACAUCCAGCAUCUACAAAGAGCUCUAGAAACUCAGCAAAAACAAAGAAAACAAUCCAGUAAGUGGGCAGAGGAGCUCAACAGGCAAUUUCCAAAAAAUGAAACAUGAAUGGCCAACAGACACUGCAUCACUAGCUAUCAGGGAAAUGCAAGUAAAAACCACAAUGAAGUUUCAUGUCACUUCAA